GGGAGCUGGACCAGAGUAUUUCACUGCAGGAGUUGAUUGUAGAUCAGCCACAGGUGUGAGAAGCUGCAGGUGGUGAUGAGCCUGGACACGCCCACACACACACGGGACCAGACAGACAAGACUGACAUAGACAGCAGGUGACAGCCAGACGUGAGUGUCCUGUCCUCCUUGGAGGGAACUGGAGAAGAUUGAUUGUAAUGCCUUCACUGCUCGGGGCGGUGUACGAGCCGACCUGACCUUUCUACUCUGAGAACUACACUGUUUUUACCAACCAAUUUAUUAUUGGGCUAAUUUUACUUAUACCAUUGUUAUUUUA